rnacentral:misc_RNA from 1 species
CUUGUUUUGAAUGGAAAAGUCAACCAAAGAGGGUUACAAGUGGUGUAACCACAGGCGCCAAGAUCGUGGGUGAGUGGUGGAUUUAGCACAAAUCUUGGGGUUUGAUAACCCCAACUCGCUUGAUGACACUUUCUCUUUCCCUGAACUCUGGCAUUCGCAUCUCCUUAUCAUUUUUAUCAGUUUCACAUAACAAACCGCAUCAAGCCACCUCUUUCUUUUUCUGGGUCAUCUUUCUUUUUGGAAUUUGGAGGGCCGUUGUCAUCUUUUGUGCUGCUGAUUCCUGCUUUCUACUUAACAAAUUUCUUGUAUAGUUUUACGAGGAGGAAGCUAGGAAAAGUCCUGUUGUGUCUCUCCAUCUCUAAGUUGUUUCUGGCACAUACUGAACUAGCAUAUAUCUUGUAUCCCAUUUUGCCUCAUAAUUGACAAUGGGAGGUGUGGUGGUAAAGGAUGAUUCACCCAGACAUACGUGGAUACCAGAAACAAAGCUUGAAUCAAAAUUGGCUGAGGCUAUCCGGAGGAGGGAAGCUGAAGGAUGUGCCAUAAAAUCAUUCAACAGCAUAAUCUUAAAAUUUCCAAAAAUUGAUGAGAGCUUAAGAAAAUGUAAAGAUAUCUUUGAGCAGUUUGAUGAGGAUUCCAAUAAUACAAUUGAUCAAGAAGAGCUGAGAAAAUGUUUCCAAAAGCUGGGAGUUUCUUUUACAGAGGAGGAAAUUAAUGAUCUAUUUGAGGCAUGUGAUAUUAAUGGUGAUAUGGGGAUGAAGUUCAACGAGUUCAUUGUACUUCUCUGUCUUGUCUAUCUUCUUAAACAUGAUCCUACUGCUCUUCAUGCUAAAUCAAGGAUGGGAAUGCCAAAUUUGGAGGCCACAUUUGAAACACUAGUUGAUGCAUUUGUGUUCUUGGACAAGAAUAAGGAUGGUUAUGUGAGCAAGAAUGAGAUGGUUCAAGCCAUAAACGAAUCUGGGGAACGUUCUUCUGGAAGAAUAGCAAUGAAAAGAUUUGAUGCUAAAAAGACGCAUUUUCCUAUUUGUGAGAAAUUCCCUUUUUCGUACAUGUGUGUGCUCCAUCACACCUGCAGGCUGAACCCGAUGUAUAUAUUUUUACAGUUGAGCAAUUAAUUUUUAAUGUAUUUUAAUUUGGAAAGCAUCCAUGAUUCCAUUUAACUUAAUUAACAUUUAAAUGUAAUGUGGCUUUCUUCACCGACAUUGCAUUGUUUCUUUGUAACAUAUGCACAAGUAAAACUAGAAAUCUCUUGAAUCCAAUUCAUUAAAUUAAUACUUGUUUCUGUUCAAGUCUCUUAGCUGUAAGAACUGUCUAAAGGAUGUCAUCACGUUUUAUGAUGUUACCAAGUCUUCUUACUUUACUGUUGCAGAAGAGAUGGACUGGGAUAAAAAUGGAAUGGUGAACUUCAAGGAAUUUUUGUUCGCAUUCACACUUUGGGUUGGAAUCAAUGACAGCGAAGACGAGGAUGAAGGUGAAGAGAAGGUGUGAAUCAAGCUCUCUACUCAUGGAUCACAACUGGAUGAUGAAAAUCCAUAGUCAGGCUUCUACGUAAGGUUCUACUUGCUUUUCUGAUAAUGAUGAAGUUGAUAUUCAAUGUGUUGUGUAAUUCUUCCUUCUUUUUUGAAUUUGUGAUGUAUAUAGUUUCAAGAAUAGGACUUCAAUGUAAUUCUAAUAAGACGCCAUCAUGCUUGAUACUUAUGUAUCAACUGCUGUGUACUGUAUAAAUUAUGUUCAGAAGACUGCAUUGGUUCUUCAACAUAGAAAGUAUGCAAUAAUUUAUCAUUUGGC